rnacentral:misc_RNA from 1 species
UUCCACGCGGUGCACCCGCUGAAGCCUCCCGCAGCGACUCUAAACAAACGCGUCAGUCCGCUUCGCGGGCGACACCACGAUCCUACUGGGACUUCUGUAGCCGUCUCCGACGGUGCCGAUACCAGUGGCCUGUGCGACAGGUUCACAGAUCAAACAGUGGUGGCCAUCGUCUGGUUAAGAUAUGACCGGUCUCCGCUGUAGCCAGCCGGAGAAGCCACGUUCCGUAGGUGAACCUGCGGAAGGAUCAUUACAGAGUUAGGGUCUUCCAGGCCCGACCUCCAACCCUAUGUGUACCUACCUUUGUUGCUUUGGCGGGCCCGCUGGGGUGACCCACCGGCGGCCUUCGGCUCUCGAGUGCCCGUCAGAGACCCAUCAAAACCUGUUAACUGUGUCGUCUGAGUACCAACAUAAUAAUUAAAACUUUCAACAACGGAUCUCUUGGUUCUG